rnacentral:rRNA from 1 species
UACGUAGGGUGCAAGCGUUUGUCCGGAAUUAUUGGGCGUAAAGAGCUCGUAGGCGGUCUGUCGCGUCUGCUGUGAAAACUCAGGGCUUAACCCUGAGCUUGCAGUGGGUACGGGCAGACUAGAGUGCGGUAGGGGGAGACUGGAAUUCCUGGUGUAGCGGUGAAAUGCGCAGAUAUCGGGAAGAACACCCGUGGCGAAGGCGGCUCUCUGGGACGGUACUGACGGCUGAGACGCGAAAGCGUGGGGAGCAAACAGG